rnacentral:misc_RNA from 1 species
CGAACUGCGAUACGUAAUGUGAAUUGCAGAGCUAGUGAAUCAUCAAGUCUUUGAACGCAAAUUGCGGUUCUGGGAAUUCCUGGAACCAUGCCUGUUUGAGUGUCAGUAACAAUUAUAUUCAAAUAUUAUGUAUUUGUUAAAAUACAUAAUGGUAAUGAAGGUUUCAAUGUUCAUUUAUUUGAAUAUCGACCUUUUAAAUGCUAAUUGUAUAAAAGAGUGUACUCUAUGUACGUUUUAUUUUUUCCAAUGUGUCGAGUAAAUUGAUAUUUUAUAUAUCAAUUGCUAAUUAUAUAUAUACAUUGGUAUUAUAAUAAAAUGUACGCUUUAAAAUAGGAUACAUUUUACUUUUAUAUAUCUUAAUUAAACUAUGUAUAUUAUUAUUAUUAUGAUAGUAUAUACAUAGACCUCAAAUCAGGUAAGACUACCCGCUGAAUUUAAGC